UACUAGUCGGCAGUAACUAGCAAUGCAGAAAUAGAACGAUAUAUUAAAGAAUUAAAGCAAAGCCCAGAGAAAGCAGAAAAAAUUUCACAAAAACAAAUUUUUACUUCCAAGUAUUGCGCAGCUAAAGAAUACUAUUAGCUUAUUCCUAAGUAAUCAAUUUGUAGUAAAAAAGCGAAUUAAAGUGCAGUUGUGAUGGGAUAGCGUUGACUAAAUGCUUAAGCCCAAAUAAGCGAUAAGUGGUUGAGAUAAAAAGACAAGGCGAAGUAGUGCCACCGCAAGUCUGAGUGAAAAUUGUUAUACCGUUCAGGCAUACACAUCGGCGUUCAGUGUACGACGUGGUUGUGUGUGUGUUAGUGCAGUUCUUAUUCUAGCGAUGGUCUGUUGCUGUUCUGGUAGAAAAAAAUUUAAAGCCCCCAUAGCAGAAUACAUUUAAUUGAACAGGCGCGUCUUUUAAGAGGUGUUCGCGCUUUUCGCGCCUCAGCUCACGGUUUCCGUUACACAACCAACAUCUACAAUAUCUGUUGUGAAAGUGACAGAACAAGGAUCCGCAACGUGCCUUUCGGAGAACAGCGACAUUAGCGUCAUCAUGAAGUUUGAAACUUUCAUUGUCCUCACCGCAAAGCUCACACUAAUCGCAUUGUCUUAUGCAAAUGUUACAAAAUGAACCCAAUUUGGGUGUUAAUGGUGGUAGGCUCAGCCAAAAGACAGCACUGUAAGCGUUUAUACACAGUUGUUAGUACAUACAUAUAGAAGAACAUACUACAUUGCCCAUUUACGUAUGAGCAACAAAUUUCCACAAAUACACGAGACUUUGGCUGAGAUAAUACGGAAUAAUAAAUUUUGCACUAAAACUGGUGAAGAAGCUAAAUUAGUCGCAAAACAAUGGAAUUGUGUAGUUGAAGAAAAUGAUUGCUGAUGUUAUAUACGCUUCGUUCUUUAUUACAACAGAUAACAAAGGACCCACGAUUGUUCGUCAAAUACUCCAAGUUCAUUGUUCCGGAUUUGCCAAAAUAUUUGCCGUCUGUCCUAAUCGGCAUGCAAAGACUUUGUAACAGUCGAAACUAAAGACACACGACACAAAUGGCAACACCACAAAACGUCAUCACUUGUGAUACAUACGAUAAAGCGCUUACAACCAAAAUUAAAAUAUUGUACUAUAUAUCAAUUUAUGUUGGUAUGGCGAAGUGGUAAAACGGUAAAAAAGCAUCAACAAAACAAAAAAAAAUGAGUUCAUAGUAAAUAUUUAAAUAUGUUCUAUAUGCUCAUUUAAGCUCGAUAGUGAAGGGUGAAUGAGGAAAGUAAUGCUCACAGUUUCUCCAGUGAAGCCCUAAGAGAGUUUAUGAAUUCUGCAACUCAACGACAGCACCAGAAAAAAUCAUGUCCAUACGUCCAUAAAUUCAGAUAGAUAUCGAACUUUGCUCAAAUUGCUCAUACGCCUCAGCUUACCCACGGCACAGGACGACCAUCUAAACUUAAAUUGGACUAUUUUGAUAAAUAAAGUAUUGGUUAUUUUCAAUCUAACUAACCACAUACAAUUUUUUUAAAUCAUUCUGUUAAAAGUCUCUUACAUUUUCUCACUUCUAAUAACUUUGCAGGCUGACGAGCCGGAACUUCCCAAGACCUCAAAAGUAGUAGUAGGUGCUUAAGAGCUCGGGAUAAAACAAAACAUUAUGAGCUGUAGGCAUCAAUUAGGAUCCCAUAUUUGAAUGCAAUAGCAUAGAACGCAUUGAGGUGUUCUCCUGGGAGCCUGACAAUUUUACUACUUCCAUGUCCACUGCAGUUUAAACCGG